rnacentral:rRNA from 1 species
UACGUAGGGGGCGAGCGUUAUCCGGAAUUAUUGGGUUUAAAGGGUGCGUAGGCGGCCAUUUAAGUCAGCGGUGAAAUUUUGCAGCUUAACUGCAGAACUGCCGUUGAUACUGAUAGUCUUGAGUUUGGUUAAGGUAGGCGGAAUGUGUAAUGUAGCGGUGAAAUGCUUAGAUAUUACACAGAACACCAAUUGCGUAGGCAGCUUACUGAGCCGACACUGACGCUGAGGCACGAAAGCGUGGGGAUCAAACAGGAUUAGAUACCCCGGUA